rnacentral:rRNA from 1 species
GGUCGCAGCCUGAUCCGCAUGCCGCGUGAGGAUGAAGGCUUUCUGAUUGGAAAACUGUUUUUUUAUGGGAGAACCCGGAUGCGAGUAUCGGGGUGAAAGUACUGUACUACGAAGGAUCGGCCAAGUCCAUGCCAGGGGCCCCGGUAAUACCGAGGAUUCAAGCGUUAUCCGGAAUUAUUGGGUUUAAUGGGUGCGUAAGCUGUUUACUAAGUUAUAGGUGAAAGCCCGUGGCUCAACCACGGAAUUGCCUCUAAUACUGCUAAGCUAGAGAAUAGUUGCUGUUGGCGGAAUGUGUGGUGUAGCGGUGAAACGCUUAGAUAUCACACAGAACACCGAUGGCUUAAGCAACUGACAAAGCUAUAUCUGACGCUAAGGCACGAAAGCGUGGGGAGCAAACAGGAUUAGAUACCCUGGUAGUCCACGCGUUAGACGAUGAUAACUCGUUGCCGGCGAUUCACAAUCGGUGACUUACCGAAAGCGUUAAGUUAUCCCCCUGGGGAGUACCUUCGCAAUAAUGAGACUCAAAGGAAUUGACGG